rnacentral:rRNA from 1 species
AUUGAACGCUGGCGGCAGGCCUAACACAUGCAAGUCGAACGAGUGGCGGACGGGUGGGUAAUGUCUGGGAAACUGCCUGAUGGAGGGGGAUAACUACUGGAAACGGUGGCUAAUACCGCAUACCCUCGGAUCUGCCGAGAUUGGAUUAGCUAGUAGGUGGGGUAAAGGCUCACCUUGGCGACGAUCCCUAGCUGGUCUGAGAGGAUGACCAGCCACACUGGAACUGAGACACGGUCCAGACUCCUACGGGAGGCAGCAGUGGGGAAUAUUGCACAAUGGGCGCAAGCCUGAUGCAGCCAUGCCGCGUGUAUGAAGAAGGUCUUCGGGUUGUAAAGUACUUUCAGUGGGGAGGCGGUACCCGAAGAAGAAGCACCGGCUAACUCCGUGCCAGCAGCCGCGGUAAUAC